ensembl:ncRNA Y69E1A.15 ncRNA
GUGAGAGAGAGGGGCGCGGAAUGGAGAAGGUCGUUUGGCAGAUUGUAACAGCCGAGAGAUGAAGAG